CAAAUCAGUUGGUUCCAGCUCUACAAGUUCUAGUGGACUGACUGGAAACUAUGUCCCUUCCUUUCUGAAAAAAGAAAUCGGUUCUGCUAUGCAGAGGGUACACCUAGCACCUAUUCCAGACCCUUCCCCUGGUUAUUCCUCCCUGAAGGCCAUGAGACCUCAUCCUGGGCGACCAUUCUUCCACACCCAGCCUAGAAGCACUCCUGGGUUGAUACCACGGCCUCCAGCCGCCCAGCCAGUGCAUGGCCGGACAGACUGGGCUUCCAAGUACGCAUCUCGGCGAUGACUGUCUGCCUUGGUGAUGAAUCUCUUCCUAGGGAGAAGCAGGAUACUUU
rnacentral:lncRNA from 1 species